GACGAACGCUGGCGGCGUGCCUAACACAUGCAAGUUGAGCGACGAACCUGGGCUUGCCCUGGGGCAAAGCAGCGAACGGGUGAGUAACACGUGGGUAACCUACCCCGAUAACCGGGACAACCCGAGGAAACUCGGGCUAAUACCGGAUGUGCUCACUGGACUUCGGUUCAGUGCGUAAAGGAAGCUUCGGCCUCCGUAUCGGGAGGGGCCCGCGGCCCAUUAGUUUGUUGGUGAGGUAACGGCUCACCAAGACCGCGAUGGGUAGCUGGUCUGAGAGGACGAUCAGCCACACUGGGACUGAGACACGGCCCAGACUCCUACGGGAGGCAGCAGUGGGGAAUCUUGCGCAAUGCGCGAAAGCGUGACGCAGCAACGCCGCGUGGGGGAAGAAGGCCUUCGGGUUGUAAACCCCUUUCAGGAGGGACGAAGGUUCGGCGGUGAAUAGCCGUCCGGACUGACGGUACCUCCACAAGAAGCCCCGGCUAACUACGUG
rnacentral:rRNA from 1 species